GACAAAACUCAAAUGAAAACCAAACCACUCCAUCUCAAGCCAAAGAAAAAACUGCACAAACAAACCCAAGCAAACACCAAAAAAAGUUUGCAGGAAAUGGAGCAAAGCAGAGCAAACAGAAAAGAGUGGCAGGGUGUUAAUUGAGACCUGAUAAUUAAAGUGAAGCACAGUCAAGGAACAGAUAUUCUUCCAGCUUUCAGUAUGAAAAUGAUGAUAGGUGGCACCUAUGGAUGCUCAGUGCUGUUUUGGUAACCCUGGGAAGCUGCAGUGAGAGCCUCGGUGACACACAAGUCUGUGCCUGACAAACAUUAGCAGCAAGAUGACCUGCAGUUUGAGUGUCUCACUGGCUGUUAUCCUGAUGGAAGGUGAAGCACUAUGACAUUUUGAUCUUGAAGUAUCCUUGGCAUUAAACUGGGGCAAAAAAAGAAGGAACAAGAAACGAACAUAAAGGGUGACUGUGAUUUAAAGAUUUCCCUGGAGAAGAUGAGCAAG